rfam:Octopus bimaculoides Scaffold2494_contig_41, whole genome shotgun sequence.
GGCAGUUUAGCUUAAUGGUAAAGCACUUAGCAGGAGUCAUAUCAAGAGAUAUGGGCUCCAGUCCCAUAGCUGGUU